AGCGGACGCUGGCGGCAGGCCUAACACAUGCAAGUCGAACGAAGUCUUCGGACUUAGUGGCGGACGGGUGAGUAACACGUGGGAACGUGCCUUUAGGUUCGGAAUAACUCAGGGAAACUUGUGCUAAUACCGAAUGUGCCCCUCGGGGGAAAGAUUUAUCGCCUUUAGAGCGGCCCGCGUCUGAUUAGCUAGUUGGUGAGGUAAAGGCUCACCAAGGCUACGAUCAGUAGCUGGUCUGAGAGGAUGACCAGCCACAUUGGGACUGAGACACGGCCCAAACUCCUACGGGAGGCAGCAGUGGGGAAUCUUGCGCAAUGGGCGAAAGCCUGACGCAGCCAUGCCGCGUGGAUGAUGAAGGUCUUAGGAUUGUAAAAUCCUUUCACCGGUGAAGAUAAUGACUGUAGCCGGAGAAGAAGCCCCGGCUAACUUCGUGCCAGCAGCCGCAGUAACAC
rnacentral:rRNA from 1 species